CGAUUGUUUGCCACCAGACGACUAGGACAGGAGUACAGUGAGCUGUUGCCAGCUGAGGUGCAUGUGAGAGUUCCUUCACCUCGAGCUAGACAGUGCGCGGACUAUCCGCGAUUGAUUGACUCAAGAUCGAGUCGGGUGGCUAGAUGACUAAGGUAAAGUAACCUUAGGAAAGAAUCGCCAGUGAGCACAAUAUGAUAAAGAAUAAAGAAUAAGAAUAAAGAAUAGCUAAUGAACGUAAAUAGCUAAUAAAGAACGGCUACAAGUAAAGAAUGGUUAAAGAUAUAAAGUAGGAUCAGUAGAUCUACUUGUUACAUAGUUGCAUGAUUUACAUAUUGCAUAUCGCGAGGCAAGGUAUGGUUUUAUUAAUUGUAUCAUCGAAUAUCUAUCUAUCUGUUCAGUUUACUAACCUGCAGUUGCCUCCUUUGGACCUGGUGGGUCGAGCUCUUCCCUUGGAUGGCCGUACCCACUGGGAACUAUAUUUAUAUAGUUCUCACCCCC
rnacentral:lncRNA from 1 species